AUACGUAGGUGACAAGCGUUAUCCGGAUUUACUGGGCGUAAAGGGCGUGUAGGCGGUCUUGCAAGUCAGAAGUGAAAUUCCUGAGCUCAACUCGGGCGCUGCUUCUGAAACUGCGGGACUUGAGUGCUGGAGGGGAUAGCGGAAUUCCUAGUGGAGCGGUAAAAUGCGCAGAUACUAGGAAGAACACCGGUGGCGAAGGCGGCUAUCUGGACAGUAACUGACGCUGAGGCGCGAAAGCGUGGGGAGCAAACAGGAUUAGAUACCCUGGUAGUCCACGCUGUAAACGAUGAAUACUAGGUGUGGGGGGACUGACCCCCUCCGUGCCGCAGUUAACACAAUAAGUAUUCCACCUGGGGAGUACGAUCGCAAGAUUGAAACUCAAAUGAAUGGACGGGG
rnacentral:rRNA from 1 species